rnacentral:rRNA from 1 species
AUUGAACGCUGGCGGCAUGCCUUACACAUGCAAGUCGAACGGUAACAGGUCUUCGGAUGCUGACGAGUGGCGAACGGGUGAGUAAUACAUCGGAACGUGCCCGAUCGUGGGGGAUAACUACUCGAAAGAGUAGCUAAUACCGCAUACGAUCUACGGAUGAAAGCGGGGGAUCUUCGGACCUCGUGCGGACGGAGCGGCCGAUGGCAGAUUAGGUAGUUGGUGGGAUAAAAGCUUACCAAGCCGACGAUCUGUAGCUGGUCUGAGAGGACGACCAGCCACACUGGGACUGAGACACGGCCCAGACUCCUACGGGAGGCAGCAGUGGGGAAUUUUGGACAAUGGGCGAAAGCCUGAUCCAGCAAUGCCGCGUGCAGGAUGAAGGCCUUCGGGUUGUAAACUGCUUUUGUACGGAACGAAAAGACUCCUUCUAAUACAGGGGGUCCAUGACGGUACCGUAAGAGUAAGCACCGGCUAACUACGUGCCAGCCGCCGCGGUAA